rnacentral:rRNA from 1 species
GACGAACGCUGGCGGCGUGCUUAACACAUGCAAGUCGAACGGAGUUACGUAUGAAGUAUUUCGGUACGGACUACAUAACUUAGUGGCGAACGGGUGAGUAACACGUGGGCAACCUGCCCUUAACCGGGGGAUAACAUUGUGAAAACAGUGCUAAUACCGCAUAACAGAGUAUCGGGCAUCCGAUAUUUUUAAAAGGAGCAAUCCGGUUUAGGAUGGGCCCGCGUCCAAUUAGCUAGUUGGUGAGGUAACAGCUCACCAAGGCUACGAUUGGUAGCCGAACUGAGAGGUUGAUCGGCCACAUUGGGACUGAGACACGGCCCAGACUCCUACGGGAGGCAGCAGUGGGGAAUAUUGGGCAAUGGGCGAAAGCCUGACCCAGCGACGCCGCGUGAAGGAUGAAGGUCUUCGGAUUGUAAACUUCUUUGAUCAGGGAAGAAAGAAAUGACGGUACCUGAAGAACAAGCCACGGCUAACUACGUG